rnacentral:rRNA from 1 species
AAUGAACGCUGGCGGCGUGCUUAACACAUGCAAGUCGAAUGAGAAAGGGAUUGCUUGCAGUCCCGAGUAGAGUGGCGCACGGGUGAGUAACACGUAGAUAAUCUGCCUUCAAGCCUGGAAUAACUAUUCGAAAGGGUAGCUAAUACCGGAUAAAGUCGGUUCACACAAGUGGAUUGAUGAAAGAUUGCCUCUUCUUGAAAGCAAUUGUUUGGAGAUGAGUUUGCGUACCAUUAGCUAGUUGGUGGGGUAAAGGCCUACCAAGGCGACGAUGGUUAGCUGGUCUGAGAGGAUGAUCAGCCACACUGGAACUGGAACACGGUCCAGACUCCUACGGGAGGCAGCAGUGAGGAAUUUUGCGCAAUGGGGGCAACCCUGACGCAGCAACGCCGCGUGAGUGAAGAAGGCCUUUGGGUCGUAAAGCUCUGUCAACAGGGAAGAAGUUACAGGUGUUUAAUAGACAUUUGUAUUGACGGUACCUGU